UAAAUUACAUUUGCAAAUGGAAGUUAGGCUCCUAUGAUAUUUAGCUGCAUUUGAAAAAUGUUACCUGUGGAUUUUACUCUCUCAUCUUCUCUAGAAUAAAAGACUAUCAUCUGGCUACUCUUUUGAUAAAUAUGUGAAUUUAGUGCUUGGGAAAGAUAUUGGCCAGACAGCCCUGAAGAGCAAAGCCCCUUCUUAUCCACAGAACAGAUACAGCAUGGGCAGAAGAGAGCAAAGACAAAGUAGCACCUAGAGACCCCACCUCAUUGUGCUAGGCAGUGUACAAAAACAGAGACAGCCAUUGCCCUCCAGAGCUUCCAGUCCGAAGGUCACUCAGCAGGUCAAUGGCAGAGCCUGGAACAUAACCCUGAUUUCUUGAGUUCCAGUCAAGGGGACAAUACUGGACAAUACUGC